rnacentral:rRNA from 3 species
UGAGAGUCCUGAAGGAACGUUGAAGACGACGACGUUGAUAGGCCGGGUGUGUAAGCGCAGCGAUGCGUUGAGCUAACCGGUACUAAUGAACCGUGAGGCUUAACCUUACAACGCCGAAGGUGUUU